rnacentral:lncRNA from 1 species
CUAGUUCUAGUUGUGCUUCUAAUCCCACAACUACUUCUAGUCGAGCACUCGAGCUGUUAAAUAACACAAAGAAGUCUCAGGCUGUCGACCGGACUGAACUUUUACGAUCGUUGAUUAUCGACAGUCAAUAGUCAAAGUCAACAUCCGCCCUAGCUGAAAGUUGAUGUUGGAUUCGCCCAUGGCUAUACUUCUUUUAGAAGAUAGUUUCACCAUCCCCUUGUAUUUUUCAUAGGCAAAAAGUUGGACGGCGCUAUAAGGUAUGAUCUGUAUCACCUAGAGUAUUAAAGAGGAAAAAACGAACAAAAAGUUACCAACAGUUUCAGUUCAAUGAAAUAUUUAACCACAUCUAGAAUCAUUGAAUGGCUGUAGAAAAAAACUCUUAUUUGACAAGGUGUGUUUCAUUGCAAAUAUGAAAUUUAUAUGGAAAGAAAAUAAAUUCUAGAUAAUUAAAUUGUCUAGAA